ACUGGAUAGGUGCAGUGAAAGGUGUUGUUUUGUCACAUACACUGGAUAGGUGCAGUGAAAGGUGUUGUUUUGUCACAUACACUGGAUAGGUGCAGUGAAAGGUGUUGUUUUGUCACAUACACUGGAUAGGUGCAGUGAAAGGUGUUGUUUUGUCACAUACACUGGAUAGGUGCAGUGAAAGGUGUUGUUUUGUCACAUACACUGGAUAGGUGCAGUGAAAGGUGUUGUUUUGUCACAUACACUGGAUAGGUGCAGUGAAAGGUGUUGUUUUGUCACAUACACUGGAUAGGUGCAGUGAAAGGUUUUGUUUUGUCACAUACACUGGAUAGGUGCAGUGAAAGGUUUUGUUUUGUCACAUACACUGGAUAGGUGCAGUGAAAGGUUUUGUUUUGUCACAUACACUGGAUAGGUGCAGUGAAAGGUGUUGUUUUGUCACAUACACUGGAUAGGUGCAGUGAAAGGUUUUGUUUUGUCACAUACACUGGAUAGGUGCAGUGAAAGGUUUUGUUUUGUCACAUACACUGGAUAGGUGCAGUGAAAGGUGUUGUUUUGUCACAUACACUGGAUAGGUGCAGUGAAAGGUGUUGUUUUGUCACAUACACUGGAUAGGUGCAGUGAAAGGUGUUGUUUUGUCACAUACACUGGAUAGGUGCAGUGAAAGGUGUUGUUUUGUCACAUACACUGGAUAGGUGCAGUGAAAGGUGUUGUUUUGUCACAUACACUGGAUAGGUGCAGUGAAAGGUGUUGUUUUGUCACAUACACUGGAUAGGUGCAGUGAAAGGUGUUGUUUUGUCACAUACACUGGAUAGGUGCAGUGAAAGGUGUUGUUUUGUCACAUACACUGGAUAGGUGCAGUGAAAGGUGUUGUUUUGUCACAUACACUGGAUAGGUGCAGUGAAAGGUGUUGUUUUGUCACAUACACUGGAUAGGUGCAGUGAAAGGUGUUGUUUUGUCACAUACACUGGAUAGGUGCAGUGAAAGGUGUUGUUUUGUCACAUACACUGGAUAGGUGCAGUGAAAGGUGUUUUACAGUGUCAGCCAUAGGAGUACGGCGUCCUUGGAGCAAAUUAGGGUAAAGUGCCUCAACAGAUUUUUCACCUUGUUGGCUUCUUUUCCGCUUAGCUGCUAUUUCUACAGUUAGUCUGUUUUGGUAUAUGGCUUAUGGUUUAGCAUUGAGAUUGGGAGGCCUGGAGCUCUGCAACGUUAUUUAAAAACAAUUCCAUAUUGAUUGCAUAUUGCUAUCAUAUUUUAACGUAAGCAUUUGUUUUAGUUAUGGAGCUGUUAUAGCAUGAUACUGCUCUGACUGUGUCUGUGUGUGGUUGUG